UACGUAGGGUGCGAGCGUUAAUCGGAAUUACUGGGCGUAAAGCGUGCGCAGGCGGCUUGCCAAGUCAGAUGUGAAAGCCCCGGGCUUAACCUGGGAAUGGCGUUUGAAACUGGCAGACUAGAGUGUGGUAGGGGAGACUGGAAUUCCUGGUGUAGCGGUGAAAUGCGCAGAUAUCAGGAGGAACACCGAUGGCGAAGGCAGGUCUCUGGGCCACUACUGACGCUGAGAAGCGAAAGCAUGGGGAGCAAACAGG
rnacentral:rRNA from 1 species